rnacentral:lncRNA from 1 species
CCUCCAAAUGGCCCACAAUACCAACUUGAGUCAGCGAUAAAGAGAAGUCGCAAGUAUGGCUUGAAACUGUCUUCUCAGGUACCUCUUCUGGGCCCUGGGGAUACACCAGAACACAAGACAAACACAAACCCUGAAAGAAGAUAGACAAGUAAUUCAAUGUCAGACAGGGAAAAUAACCAUAAUGAAGGAGAACUGAAGCCAGAUAAGGAAACAGUUGCUGUGUUAGUAGUAGUUGAAGACCUUCUGAGGAGGAGACAGAUGACUAGAGAAUCAGCCCACACAUGUCCUAGGGAGCCUCGAGGCAGAGGACCCGUAGGUCCAAAGGCCCUGAGGUCAGAGCCUGCUGAGAUCUUCUUGCCAUCCCUGCCCCAGCCUCAUCCCACUCCACUCUUGCAUCCCAUUGCCUGCUUGUGACCAAGGACAAUCACAGAGGAAUCACUGAUCACAGUGCAAAGACCUCACCUGAGUUACAACACAGUGAGUUCUCCAAAAGGUCUGAAGUCAGUGGCUGAAAUCCCUCCUGGAAGCUGCAGAGAUUCAGAGCAGGCCCUGGAAGACACAGCCCACCUCAUGAAUGAGACUGGACCCCUUUUCGUCCAGUAUCCACAUGGCAGGGAGGAUAGUGCUGCAGCUGCACGUGCAUUAGGCACACUGGUUUGAAGCAGGUGCUGAUCCUGCUACUCCAGGACAGUGAGGUUAUCCUGGCCCUUCAGUGGAGAACAGGCUCAUAUGGAACAAAUCCUGAGCGUCUCUUACAACCAAGAGGGAUCAGAAGGGAAGUGAAGAUCCAGCUGUGCUUUCUGGUCUACUUUCCGGUGUUGCAGCCCUGGAGGAAGCAGGCAGCCAGGGACAUAUGCAUUGAAAUCACGCCGGGGGUGCUGCCAAGAACAGAAUGAGGAGGUAUAAAUGUCUGGGACAAUCAUGGAAACAGCCAAAGAUCCCAGGAGAGAAGGGGAUCAAGAUGCCCAUAACUAUGAUGUCAGACCUCCAGGACCAAGGCACUCUGAACCCUGCCUGUCCACUAAAGAUGGAACACAGUGGGAACUGGGGAGAUGUCUGGACUGCAGACAACCUGAACCCAAGAGCUUGUCUUUCAUCCAGGGUAGCUGCCCUGAUGGAUGGGUAUGACUGGGGCUCCCAACCACAGCAGCCUACAAGGAUGGUCAGGGUAGGUGGGCCUGCUCAUUCCUUGGCCCACCACUCUGCCCUCCUCUUCACCCCUACCCGCAAUGUCUUUCUAGAUUCCUGGAGGGCUUUGAGGUUUCUCCCAUGUUGGCCUUUAAGGCCCCCAUUAAAGGGACCCUUUUCUCCCCAUUUUCCAUCCUCUAGUGCCUCUGCCUCCAGGGAGUGCUGGGGACAUCUUGUGGCCCUUUUACAGUUUUAGGUUUGGCCAUGACCUUGACCUCUCUUGUUAACAUCAUCCACAUCCUCCGAUGCCCAGUGUCGGGCCCACUUCUCUUGUUCUAUAAAACCUUGCUGUAUCCAUCACUUAGGACAAGUGAUACCUGUCUAAAACUUUUAAAGGUUAAAUCCUCAAACAGGGGCACUUAGAUUCUAACAUUUACCAUCAUAGUCCUAAAAACUCUUCUUUUUCUUCAUCUUUCAUCUCAAUAUAGUCACGUACACCCUGCUGGACUGGAGCCACCAUUUAAAUCCCCUAAGGGAAAUGAUCCCCUCUCAUCUAGCCUGGUUAGAUAGUAAAACUUGGAUUCCCAGGCCCUCCACAAUUUGUCUCCAUCUGGCCUGCUCCCAAGGAAGCUGAAAGCAAUCCUGGCCAGGCCAUCCCUAGAGACAUUGGAAGGUCCUAGUUCUGGGGUUGCCAUGACAGCAAGGGUCCUGCAAACUUCUCAUCCCACUGGGGAGCAUGGCACUGGACAAAUACACUGUCCUUUCCAUUUGUCCUAUAGACUGAACUUCAGAUCAAGACAAAUAUGGAGUUUUGAGCUCAAACCUAUUAAAAGGAUUUCUGCAUAACUAAAAAUAGAGGAAAAUUCAUUACAUUCUUUUCUUGUAAGAAGCUGGACUUACUUUGCAAAUGUGUCUCAGAAAAUUCAUCUUUUUUUCUGUCAAUAGUUAUAUUUGCUGCCAUUCCCAGCAGGGGAGAUUGUCAUUAAAUAAUCACAAUAUAAGGGAAUCCUCCAUAAAAUACUAUCAGCUCAGGAGGACAUAAUUAUACCUUGCUUUCAAGAAUAGAGAUGUUCUUUGAAGUGACUUUUUGAUUUUUUUUUUUGGUACUGGGGAUCGAACUCGGGUCCUUGUGCUUGAGCAGCAGGCGGUGAAACCACUGAGCUAAAUCCCUGGCCCAAAAUUGAGAAGACUUUGUUACUCUUUGGGUUUU